rnacentral:tRNA from 1 species
AGAAAUUUAGGUUACAUUCUAAACCUGGGACCUUCAAAGCCCCAAACAGAGGGACCACCCCCUAAUUUCUG